GCACACGGUGGUGCAGUGGUUAACACUCUCGCCUCACAGCAAGAAGGUUGUGGGUUUGAACCCCGGCCUGGGGCC